CUGCGCCACAAGUGGCAAUCGUUAUUAUUGGGCCUAAAGCGUCCGUAGCAGGUCUUGUAAAUCUCUUGUGAAAUUGUCGCGCUUAACGCGACAGCGUGCAAGAGACACUGCAAGACUCGGGACCGGGAGGAGUCAGAGGUAUUUCUUGGGGAGCGGUAAAAUGCUAUAAUCCAAGAAGGACCACCUAUGGCGAAGGCAUCUGACCAGAACGGAUCCGACUGUGAGGGACGAAAGCUAGGGGAGCGAACCGGAUUAGAUACCCGAGUAGUCC
rnacentral:rRNA from 1 species